UAAACUAGGAUUAGAUACCCUAUUAUUUAAAAUGUAAUUUGAUCCACUAAGGUAGUAGUAGUUAUGUUCUUGAAACUUAAAAAAUUUGGCGGUAUUUUAGUCUAUUCAGAGGAACCUGUCCUGUAAUUGAUAAUCCACGAUGUACCUCACUUAAAUUUGUCUUUCAGUUUAUAUACCGUCGUUAUCAGAAUAUUUUAUUAGAAUAAUAAUUUUCUAUAAUUUUUAUAAGAAUUUAUAUCAGAUCAAGGUGUAGCUUAUGUUUAAGUAGAGAUGGGUUACAAUAAAUUUAUUUAAACGGAUCUAAUUUUGAAAUGUUUAGUGAAGGUGGAUUUGAUAGUAAAAUUUUAAAGAUUGUUAAUUUGAUUUUAGCUCUAGAAUAUGCACACAUCGCCCGUCGCUCUUGCUAUUAAGGCAAGAUAAGUCGUA
rnacentral:rRNA from 1 species